GACGAACGCUGGCGGCGUGCCUAAUACAUGCAAGUCGAACGCAGUGGGGACGGGUGAGUAACAAGUGGGUAACCUCCCAUCUGAGGGGAUAAACCUUGGAAACAGGUGCUAAACCGAUACUGAUGGAUGGACUCGCGGGGCAUUAGCUAGUAGGUGAGGUAACGGCUAACCAAGGCAACGAUGCAUAGCCGACCUGAGAGGGUGAUCGGCCACACUGGGACUGAGACACGGCCCAGACUCCUACGGGAGGCAGCAGUGGGGAAUAUUGCACAAUGGACGAAAGUCUGACCGAGCAAUGCCGCGUGUGUGAAGAAGGUUUUCGGAUCGUAAAACUCUGUUGUUAGAGAAGCGGUAUCUAACCAGAAAGCCACGGCUAACUACGUGCCAGCCGCCGCGGUAAUAC
rnacentral:rRNA from 1 species